rnacentral:rRNA from 1 species
AUGAAGGAAUUGUUCAAAAUGAGUGAUCUAGGCUUUUUAAGCUUUUACCUUGGGAUUGAGGUACAUCAAAGUAGAGAUGGGAUCACAUUGUGCCAAGAGGCAUAUGCCACAAAAAUUCUCGUGAAUUGUGGCAUGGAUGAUUGCAAUCCUUCACAUACGCCUAUGGAGGCUAAGCUCAAGUUGAGCAAACGGAGUGAGGCGCCGGCCGUUGAUCCAACAGAUUACAGAAGCAUUGUGGGGAGCCUAAGGUACUUGGUGAACACAAGGGCUGAUUUGGCCUACUCUGUUGGGAUCGUUAGUAGAUACAUGGAGCACCCUACUACUGAACAUCUAGUUGCGGUGAAGCAAAUUUUGAGGUAUGUUAAGGGCACUCUAAAUAUGGCUGCAAGUACACAAGAAAGAAAGAGGCAAGACCACCAUUGGUGGGCUAUAGUGACAGUGAUAUGGCAGGAGACGUGGACGACAGGAAAAGUACUACUGGCGUUGCUUUUUUCUUAG